rnacentral:miRNA from 1 species
ACAUGUAUGCCCAGGUUACUUG